rnacentral:rRNA from 1 species
AGAGUUUGAUCCUGGCUCAGGAUGAACGCUGGCGGCGUGCUUAACACAUGCAAGUCGAGCGAAGCACUUUUGCGGAUUUCUUCGGAUUGAAGCAAUUGUGACUGAGCGGCGGACGGGUGAGUAACGCGUGGGUAACCUGCCUCAUACAGGGGGAUAACAGUUGGAAACGGCUGCUAAUACCGCAUAAGCGCACAGUACCGCAUGGUACGGUGUGAAAAACUCCGGUGGUAUAAGAUGGACCCGCGUUGGAUUAGCUAGUUGGCAGGGUAACGGCCUACCAAGGCAACGAUCCAUAGCCGGCCUGAGAGGGUGAACGGCCACAUUGGGACUGAGACACGGCCCAGACUCCUACGGGAGGCAGCAGUGGGGAAUAUUGCACAAUGGGGGAAACCCUGAUGCAGCGACGCCGCGUGAAGGAAGAAGUAUCUCGGUAUGUAAACUUCUAUCAGCAGGGAAGAUAGUGACGGUACCUGACUAAGAAGCUCCGGCUAACUACGUGCCAGCAGCCGCGGUAAUACGUAGGGGGCAAGCGUUAUCCGGAUUUACUGGGUGUAAAGGGAGCGUAGACGGACUGGCAAGUCUGAUGUGAAAGGCGGGGGCUCAACCCCUGGACUGCAUUGGAAACUGUUAGUCUUGAGUGCCGGAGAGGUAAGCGGAAUUCCUAGUGUAGCGGUGAAAUGCGUAGAUAUUAGGAGGAACACCAGUGGCGAAGGCGGCUUACUGGACGGUAACUGACGUUGAGGCUCGAAAGCGUGGGGAGCAAACAGAAUUAGAUACCCUGGUAGUCCACGCCGUAAACGA